rnacentral:rRNA from 1 species
CCCUUAGAUGUUCUGGGCCGCACGCGCGCUACACUGACGGAUUCAACGAGCUUACAACCUUGGCCGAAAGGUCUGGGUAAUCUUCAAAAUCCGUCGUGAUGGGGAUAGAUUAUUGCAAUUAUUAAUCUUCAACGAGGAAUGCCUAGUAAGCGCAAGUCAUCAGCUUGCGUUGAUUACGUCCCUGCACUUUGUACACACCGCCCGUCGCUCCUACCGAUUGAAUGGUCCGGUGAAGCGUUUGGACUAUGGUUUUCUGAUGGUCCGCCGUUGGAUUACCGUGGGAAGUUCGUUAAACCUUAUCAUUUAGAGGAAGGAGAAGUCGUAACA